rnacentral:rRNA from 1 species
UGGCGGACGGGUGGAGUAACGCGUGGAUAACCUGCCUCAUACAGGGGAGUAACAGUUGGAAACGGCUGUUAAUACCGCAUAAGCGCACGAAAUCGCAUGGUUUUGUGUGAAAAACUCCGGUGGUAUGAGAUGGGUCCGCGUCUGAUUAGCUAGUUGGCAGGGUAACGGCCUACCAAGGCGACGAUCAGUAGCCGGCCUGAGAGGGUGUACGGCCACAUUGGGACUGAGACACGGCCCAAACUCCUACGGGAGGCAGCAG